AGGACUAUAGUUAAAAAUAACAUUUAAUUUGCAAUUAAAAAGUAUUGAUUAAUUCAAUUUGUCUUA
rnacentral:tRNA from 1 species